rnacentral:rRNA from 1 species
UACGGGGGGAGCAAGCGUUGUUCGGAUUUACUGGGCGUAAAGGGCGCGUAGGCGGCGCAACAAGUCACUUGUGAAAUCUCCGGGCUUAACCCGGAGCGACCAAGUGAUACUGUCGUGCUAGAGUGCGGAAGGGGCUACUGGAAUUCUCGGUGUAGCGGUGAAAUGCGUAGAUAUCGAGAGGAACACCUGCGGCGAAGGCGGGUAGCUGGGCCGACACUGACGCUGAUGCGCGAAAGCCAGGGGAGCGAACGGG